UACGGGGGGAGCAAGCGUUGUUCGGAUUUACUGGGCGUAAAGCGCGUGUAGGCGGCUUGGCAAGUUGAAUGUGAAAGCCCACGGCUCAACCGUGGAAGCGCAUCCAAAACUGCUUCGCUCGAGUCUCGGAGAGGAAGGUGGAAUGCUUGGUGUAGAGGUGAAAUUCGUAGAUAUCAAGCAGAACACCUGCGGCGAAGGCAGCCUUCUGGACGAUGACUGACGCUGAGACGCGAAAGCGUGGGGAGCAAACAGG
rnacentral:rRNA from 1 species